rnacentral:rRNA from 1 species
AACGAACGCUGGCGGCAGGCCUAGCACAUGCAAGUCGAACGAAGCCUUCGGGCUUAGUGGCGGACGGGUGAGUAACACGUGGGAACGUACCUUUUGGUUCGGAACAACUCAGGGAAACUUGAGCUAAUACCGGAUGAGCCCUUAGGGGGAAAGAUUUAUCGCCGAAAGAGCGGCCCGCGUUAGAUUAGCUAGUUGGUGAGGUAAAGGCUCACCAAGGCUACGAUCUAUAGCUGGUCUGAGAGGAUGAUCAGCCACACUGGGACUGAGACACGGCCCAGACUCCUACGGGAGGCAGCAGUGGGGAAUCUUGCGCAAUGGGCGAAAGCCUGACGCAGCCAUGCCGCGUGAAUGAUGAAGGUCUUAGGAUUGUAAAAUUCUUUUACCAGGGACGAUAAUGACGGUACCUGGAGAAAAAGCCCCGGCUAACUUCGUGCCAGCCGCCGCCGUAACAC